rnacentral:tRNA from 1 species
AUGGGCUUAAUUCAAGGGUAGAAUGCUUCACUGUCAAUGUAGACAUACAGGUUCAAGUCCUGUGGCUAGAC